AGUGAACGCUGGCGGCGUGCUUAACACAUGCAAGUCGAACGAGAACGGAUUAUAGCUUGCUAUAAUUGUCAGCUAAGUGGCGCACGGGUGAGUAAUGUAUAGGUAAUAUGCCUCUUACUAAGGGAUAACAAAUGGAAACGUUUGCUAAUACCUUAUACUCCUUAUUAACAGAAGUUAAUAAGGGAAAGAUUUAUUGGUAAGAGAUUAGCCUGUAUUGUAUCAGUUAGUUGGUGGGGUAAUGGCUUACCAAGACUAUGACACAUAGCUGGUUUGGAAGGAGGAUCAGUCACACUGGAACUGGGACAGGGUACAGACUCCUACGGGAGGCAGCAGUGGCGAAUAUUGCACAAUGGACGAAAGUCUGAGGCAGCACCGCCGCGUGGAGGAUGACACAUUUCGGUGCGUAAACUCCUUUUAUAUGAGAAGAUAAUGACGGUAUUAUAUGAAUAAGCACCGGCUAACUCCGUGCCAGCCGCCGCUGUAA
rnacentral:rRNA from 1 species